rnacentral:rRNA from 1 species
CUAGCGACUUCAGAGUUUGAUCCUGGCUCAGGAUGAACGCUGGCGGCGUGCCUAAUACAUGCAAGUCGGACGCAUCACUUCGGUGAUGAGUGGCGAACGGGUGAGUAAUACAUAAGUAACCUGCCCUUUCGAGGGGGAUAACUAUUGGAAACGAUAGCUAAGACCGCAUAGGCAUGCAGAUCGCAUGAGCUGUAUGUUAAAUAUCCCACGGGAUAGCGAGAGGAUGGACUUAUGGCGCAUUAGCUAGUUGGUGAGGUAGAGGCUCACCAAGGCGACGAUGCGUAGCCGACCUGAGAGGGUGGACGGCCACACUGGGACUGAGACACGGCCCAG